GUACACUCCUACGGGAGGCAGCAGUGGGGAAUAUUGGACAAUGGGCGCAAGCCUGAUCCAGCCAUGCCGCGUGAGUGAUGAAGGCCCUAGGGUUGUAAAGCUCUUUCACCGGUGAAGAUAAUGACGGUAACCGGAGAAGAAGCCCCGGCUAACUUCGUGCCAGCAGCCGCGGUAAUACGAAGGGGGCUAGCGUUGUUCGGAUUUACUGGGCGUAAAGCGCACGUAGGCGGACUAUUAAGUCAGGGGUGAAAUCCCGGGGCUCAACCCCGGAACUGCCUUUGAUACUGGUAGUCUUGAGUUCGAGAGAGGUGAGUGGAAUUCCGAGUGUAGAGGUGAAAUUCGUAGAUAUUCGGAGGAACACCAGUGGCGAAGGCGGCUCACUGGCUCGAUACUGACGCUGAGGUGCGAAAGCGUGGGGAGCAAACAGGAUUAGAAACCCUUGUAGUCC
rnacentral:rRNA from 1 species